UGAAGGCGUUCCCUACAGACAUGGAACAAAGUUCUAUGUGAGCCCCGCCCACUUUGAGUCUGAUUUAAGGAUGAGACUCAGCCUCAACCAGCAGAACUUCAGCUUCAGCUGCUCUGUCUGGUCCUGCUCCAGACCGUCUUCAGAGGAAACAACUUCUCCCAGAAGUCUAAGGGAAGAAACUUUUCCUCCUUUUGCAACAAGCUCAGACAUUUAGCUUCAAGUCAACGACAACAUGUCAUACAUGUCACCAAUGAGCAUUGUUGGUGGACAAGGAGGAUGUCCAUUUAAUUUCAUUGGUGCAAAAACUGGAUCUCUGCUUAAAAAGCUGGAUGUCUGUGUCGGACCAACCCAAGUGAGAUCUAUAACGGUCCUGAUGUCUGACGAUGUUAAAGAGACAUUUGGGACAGCAAAGGGAGCCAAUGAUAAAAUGCUCUCUUUCGAUUUUGAGGGAGAUGAAUAUUUUUCCUUACUCACUCUUUGGCCCAACAAUAAUGGGGAAUAUCUGGGUGGCAUUAAAUUCAAAACAACAAAGGGAAACACUUUUGAGGCUGUUAUGACAAAUGGAAAACUUUCAAUGCCGCCGACAAAAGUAGAUGUUGGCUCUGGAAUGUGUUUUGGAGUUCAGGGCAGGUCAGGAACCGAAGUUAAUGCACUUGGGUUCAUGUUAAUCAAAGAUCCUUAGUAAGUUCCUAACCGGUUCUAGAGGGCUAGAUGGUGAAACAACAACCUGUGUGGGUUCAGCUUCUUGAUGAGAACAGAAAAAAAUGUGUCUGACAGAAAUGAUUUCACCUUCUAGCCUCCAGACAAAGACAACAGCUAAUGAUAUCUGCUGUCAUGAAAAGGGUUUGGUUCUUUGAAACAAUCAGAUGACAUCUUUCAUGUCAAAUCACUGUUUGUGCUCAUCUAGUCUGUAUGAUUUGGAAAAUAAAAACCUCAACCAAA